AGAGUUUGAUUUUGGCUCAGGACGAACGCUGGCGGCGCGCCUAACACAUGCAAGUCGAACGGAGCUGAGAGGAGCUUGCUUUUCUUAGCUUAGUGGCGAACGGGUGAGUAACGCGUGAGUAACCUGCCCUGGAGUGGGGGACAACAGUUGGAAACGACUGCUAAUACCGCAUAAGCCCACGAUCCGGCAUCGGAUUGAGGGAAAAGGAUUUAUUCGCUUCAGGAUGGACUCGCGUCCAAUUAGCUAGUUGGUGAGGUAACGGCCCACCAAGGCGACGAUUGGUAGCCGGACUGAGAGGUUGAACGGCCACAUUGGGACUGAGACACGGCCCAGACUCCUACGGGAGGCAGCAGUGGGGGAUAUUGCACAAUGGGGGAAACCCUGAUGCAGCGACGCCGCGUGGAGGAAGAAGGUUUUCGGAUUGUAAACUCCUGUCGUUAGGGACGAUAAUGACGGUACCUAACAAGAAAGCACCGGCUAACUACGUGCCAGCAGCCGCGGUAAAACGUAGGGUGCAAGCGUUGUCCGGAAUUACUGGGUGUAAAGGGAGCGCAGGCGGACCGGCAAGUUGGAAGUGAAAACUAUGGGCUCAACCCAUAAAUUGCUUUCAAAACUGCUGGCCUUGAGUAGUGCAGAGGUAGGUGGAAUUCCCGGUGUAGCGGUGGAAUGCGUAGAUAUCGGGAGGAACACCAGUGGCGAAGGCGACCUACUGGGCACCAACUGACGCUGAGGCUCGAAAGCAUGGGUAGCAAACAGGAUUAGAUACCCUGGUAGUCCAUGCCGUAAACGGAUGAUUACUAGGUGGUGGAGGGUUGACCCCUCCAGUGCCGCAGUUAACACAAUAAGUAAUCCACCUGGGGAGUGCGACCGCAAGGUUGAAACUCAAAGGAAUUGACGGGGGCCCGCACAAGCAGUGGAGUAUGUGGUUUAAUUCGAAGCAACGCGAAGAACCUUACCAGGUCUUGACAUCCGAUGAAUAGCUUAGAGAUAAAUGAAGUCCUUCGGGACAUCGAGACAGGUGGCGCAUGGUUGUCGUCAGCUCGUGUCGUGAGAUGUUGGGUUAAGUCCCGCAACGAGCGCAACCCUUAUUGCCAGUUACUACGUAAGAGGACUCUGGCGAGACUGCCGUUGACAAAACGGAGGAAGGUGGGGAGGACGUCAAAUCAUCAUGCCCUCUAUGACCUGGGCUACACACGUACUACAAUGGCGUUUAACAAAGAGAAGCAAGACCGCGAGGUGGAGCAAAACUCAAAAACAACGUCUCAGUUCAGAUUGCAGGCUGCAACUCGCCUGCAUGAAGUCGGAAUUGCUAGUAAUCGCGGAUCAGCAUGCCGCGGUGAAUA
rnacentral:rRNA from 1 species